rnacentral:rRNA from 1 species
GUUGACCUCGUUGAAGGAAAGUCAAAC